rnacentral:lncRNA from 1 species
GUUCCGUGGUUAAGUCGCUGCAUGCUCACAGAGGCUUACUUCAAGCACGGGCUGCAAGGUUUUACUUUCUUCAUCAGGAUUCCUCUCAUGCCACGAAUGGGGAAAGUUCACAGUUGUUGGAGCUGAUAUUCCUAGAGAAAAAUGCUGGAAAGCUACAUAUGGGGCAGUCCUGCUCCUCAGGGCCCACAGAAGCUCAGAUUCCUCCUGUCUACUUGCUCUGCCAAGUGUUGUUUUUGGUGGCUUAACGCCACUUCCACUCUCCAGCCAGUAGAAAGGUGAGAAAAGCGAAAGAGAAGAACAGAAUUCUCUUCACUGCAGGAUCUCCUUACAUCCCACUGAUCAGAAUUUCCACCAUGACCAUGCCUAGAUUCAAGGGGUGAGGUGAGGGGAGGAGCUGGGAAAUGCAGUCUGCAUUCUGUGCCCAGCUAAAAUGUAGGGAUGCGGUUGCCAUAGAAUCGGGGAAAGUGGAUAUGGGGGCAUGGCAGCUGGUGCUCACGGGGCACUCUUUGCCUUUGACAGUGGAUCAGGCAUUAUGCAGAGCACGAAGAGGAGCACAUUGUAGUCUCUGACUUCAGAAGAAGCAGACAGCAAAGGUGGUUUCCUUCCUGGUGGAGAUUGCCGAUUGGACUACAGAAUGGCGAGAAUACUGUGAAAGGAGGAGCAUAGAAAUCCAAGUGUGAUCAGUCAGCAGGUCUUGGCC